CGUAGGUGGCAAGCGUUAUCCGGAAUUAUUGGGCGUAAAGCGCGCGCAGGCGGUCUCUUAAGUCUGAUGUGAAGCCCACGGCUCAACCGUGGAGGUCAUUGGAACUGGGAGACUUGAGUGCAGGAGAGAAAGUGGAAUUCCACGUGUAGCGGUGAAAUGCGUAGAGAUGUGGAGGAACACCAGUGGCGAAGGCGGCUUUUGGCCUGUAACUGACGCUGAGGCGCGAAAGCGUGGGAGCAAACAGGAUU
rnacentral:rRNA from 1 species